rnacentral:lncRNA from 1 species
UUGAUUCACAGAUGCUGGAGAGAAAGCUUUAUCUUACUCAAUUCUGUAAUGUUUCUGUUGCUGUGGUUUUUCAGGAGAAAGAGAAGAGAUCCUGUAGCUGAAGACCCCAAAACAAAAGAGGAAAGCAUCUACAACAAUGUUGCAGCCAAUCAAGAUGAUGGUCUUUAUGCCACAGUUGAACCCCCCAGACCAAUGAAUCCUAGGACCGAAAAACGCUCAGCAGUUUCCCAUGAGGAGGUUCAGUAUGGUAACAUCCAGCACUGCCAUCGUCAAGAUAUAAAGAUGACAGAAGAAGAUGAUGUCCAAUAUGCUAGUGUCAACUUUUCCCGUACUUCUCAAGACCACAGGUGUGUUAGAACAUCAAAUACAUUCAUUUUAAGUAAAAAAGAAGAUCUUUAACAUGCUUUCCAGAUAAUACUCUAUUUAAUUUCUGGUUUACAGAAAUGCACCUGAGGAUUCCUCUGUGAUCUACAGUGGGGUAAAAUAAUCACCUAAAUUACUGUUCAUAAAUUACCUUGGUUAUAAUUGUUUGAGAAUUGGGGCUGUUUCUUUUAAUAAGCUUUUUAAAUAGGUGUAUCCACCCGCAUUUAAACAGUAUUAAUUAUAAAUACAUGAAAAGGGCCUACUAAUGGUGACAUUGGGAACUGCUAAUGUGGGCAAACAUGGGAGGUGGUACAGAAGCAACUAUAAAGACUUUCCUUUUUUUAAAUGCUAUUUCUUCUCUAAUGUUUUUUUUUUUACAUUUUAGAUUUUGGAGAACAUGAGCUCAUUACUAUAAACAGUUAUUAGUGUGUUUUGUGCCGUAUUUUGUUGUAAUGUAAAAUAUAACUGAUGAUUUUCAACUGUUGAGAUUUCUUAAAUAUAUCAAUA